GUGAAUACAUCAGCUUUCAUUCAUUCAUCAUUUUUGUGUUUAUAACAUAUCAAUUAGAAACAAAAUUCUAUGAGGAACCCUAAUAACCCCAACCCCAACCCUAUCAUCAUCUUUUGAAUUUCCCUAAAUCGAUGCUAUUUACAGUUCCUUCUCUACUCGUGCUGAAUCAUUCCCUCUCUCUUCGCGCUCCUCUAUACAACAACCUCUCUACUCGCGGUUUAUGGUGUGUGUUCUUUCAAUUGAUGACUCCGUUGUUGAAUCUCCGAUGCCAGUGGGUGAAAGAGCUCAACGGCGAGUCCAAUUUAGAAGCGUAGUCUCACCGGACGGUUACAUCUCCAUAUGCGGCUUUAGAUUUCUUCUCUCUGAGAAAAUGUGAUAGAUGCUGUUUACACGCACACUUACACUCCUUUUUCUGUCGUGUCUUGACGGUUGUGGUUAAUUUCUUCUUCACUCGCAACAUUGUCAAUCUCAAAACUGAGGUCUUUCCUGAAUCACUAGAUGAGGAGCUCUCUGUCAAUCCAGCACAUAUAUAGUUGUCUUUGGAACUGGACUGGUAGCUGCCUUUCUUUUCCCAUAUUUGAUGAAGAAUGAUCUAUUUCCAAAUUUAGCAUAUGGGACAAGUCAAGCAUGGAUAUAAAAUAUGCAAGUAGAUUGACAUCUUUUUGAUAAAUAUUAAUUACUAUUUUGUUAUGACAAUUAUUGUUAGACAAGAAUUUUAUUA